GGAGAGGUGGCAGAGUGGUCGAUCGCGACGGCUUGCUAAGCCGUUGUGUGGGGUAACCUGCACCGUGGGUUCGAAUCCCACCCUCUCCGCCA
rnacentral:tRNA from 1 species